UGAGGAAUAUUGGUCAAUGGACGCAAGUCUGAACCAGCCAAGUAGCGUGCAGGAUGACGGCCCUAUGGGUUGUAAACUGCUUUUAUAUGGGGAUAAAGUGGGGAACGUGUUCCCUUUUGCAGGUACCAUAUGAAUAAGGACCGGCUAAUUCCGUGCCAGCAGCCGCGGUAAUACGUAGGGCGCGAGCGUUGUCCGGAAUUAUUGGGCGUAAAGGGCUUGUAGGCGGUUGGCCGCGUCUGCCGUGAAAUCCUCUGGCUUAACUGGGGGCGUGCGGUGGGUACGGGUUGACUUGAGUGCGGUAGGGGAGACUGGAAUUCCUGGUGUAGCGGUGGAAUGCGCAGAUAUCAGGAGGAACACCGGUGGCGAAGGCGGGUCUCUGGGCCGUUACUGACGCUGAGGAGCGAAAGCGUGGGGAGCGAACAGG
rnacentral:rRNA from 1 species